rnacentral:lncRNA from 1 species
CUACAUCUCAAUUUGCUUCACAUUUACUGGGAUUUCCCAUAUUCACCGCUUUCUUAAUCUGACAAGUCACCGUUUCCUAAGAACCAAUAUAAUAGGUUGGUUGCACCCAUUGGACAGGGUGAAAACUUGGUCUAACAUUGAUAGCACCUGUGUGCUAUGCGGAUAACAUGAAGAAUCUCGAAUGUACUUGCUCUUUAAGUGUGUAUUCUUAAAGCAGAUUUUGGAAACAAGACUCUUACCGCUGAUGUUAAGUGUUUGUGGAGAAAUUGGCGAGUUCUUGUUGGCUAGCUUUGCUGUAAUCCGGUGGCAUGGUAUUUGAGGUUGCAUCUUGUUUUUCUGGGUAGUAUUUUACUGUUGCUACUGGUAGUGUACAUGGGGAAGACUAUUAUGUAAUCCGCCGGCCACCUCCCCCUUUCGGGAGAGAACCUUCAUCUUCCUGUAACCUAGGGGAAGGCAUCGCGGGAAUCUGGGCGGCCUGCCCUUACCCCCCGUAAGGGGGGUUUGUGGCCGGGUCAGGCCAUGGGGCCGGUAUCUUUAUCGAGGCCCGGAUCCUGACCUCUAUCCAGUCAUGGUAUUUGAGUUUGCAUCUUGUUUUUCUGGGUAGUAUUUUGCUGUUGCUACUGGUAGUGUAGAUGGGGAAGACUAUUAUGUCAUGUUGUCAUUCGGUGCGCGGGGUCAUCA